rnacentral:rRNA from 1 species
UACAGAGGGUGCGAGCGUUGUUCGGAAUUAUUGGGCGUAAAGCGCGCGCAGGCGGGUUUGUAAGUCGGAUGUGAAAGCCCUCGGCUCAACCGAGGAAGUGCGUUCGAAACUACUGUUCUUGAGUGUCGGAGAGGGUGGCGGAAUUCCCGGUGUAGAAGUGAAAUUCGUAGAUAUCGGGAGGAACACCAGAGGCGAAGGCGGCUCACUGGCUCAUACUGGACGCUGAGGUGCGAAAGCGUGGGGAGCAAACAGG